GACGAACGCUGGCGGCGUGCUUAACACAUGCAAGUCGAACGGUAAGGCCCUGCUUUUGUGGGGUUCUCGAGUGGCGAACGGGUGAGUAACACGUGAGUAACCUGCCCUUGACUUUGGGAUAACUUCAGGAAACUGGGGCUAAUACCGGAUAUGAGCUCCUGCUGCAUGGUGGGGGUUGGAAAGUUUCGGCGGUUGGGGAUGGACUCGCGGCUUAUCAGCUUGUUGGUGGGGUAGUGGCUUACCAGGGCUUUGACGGGUAGCCGGCCUGAGAGGGUGACCGGCCACAUUGGGACUGAGAUACGGCCCAGACUCCUACGGGAGGCAGCAGUGGGGAAUAUUGCACAAUGGGCGGAAGCCUGAUGCAGCAACGCCGCGUGCGGGAUGACGGCCUUCGGGUUGUAAACCGCUUUCGCCUGUGACGAAGCGUGAGUGACGGUAAUGGGUAAAGAAGCACCGGCUAACUACGUG
rnacentral:rRNA from 1 species